AACGAACGCUGGCGGCAGGCUUAACACAUGCAAGUCGAACGCCCCGCAAGGGGAGUGGCAGACGGGUGAGUAACGCGUGGGAAUCUACCUAGUUCUACGGAACAACAGAGGGAAACUUCUGCUAAUACCGUAUACGCCCUAUGGGGGAAAGAUUUAUCGGAAUUAGAUGAGCCCGCGUAAGAUUAGCUAGUUGGUGAGGUAAUGGCUCACCAAGGCGACGAUCUUUAGCUGGUCUGAGAGGAUGAUCAGCCACACUGGGACUGAGACACGGCCCAGACUCCUACGGGAGGCAGCAGUGGGGAAUAUUGGACAAUGGGCGCAAGCCUGAUCCAGCCAUGCCGCGUGAGUGAUGAAGGCCUUAGGGUUGUAAAGCUCUUUCAGUAGGGAAGAUAAUGACGGUACCUACAGAAGAAGCCCCGGCUAACUUCGUGCCAGCCGCCGCGGUAAAAC
rnacentral:rRNA from 1 species